UCUCAUUAGGAGUAUAUCCACGUACAGCCGGCGACAGCCGACAGGCUUCAGCCACACCGGUCCCGUCUAGAAAGACCUGUCUGUGAACCGGGGAGAGACGAAUGCAAAUCCGACAACGCAGCAGCAGUGACAAUGACGAUUAAUUGAGACGGAAUGGAGAUCUUGGACAGAUACAACUCAGAGAUACAAGAUCGAUGGAGAUCAAUCUUGGUGCGGCUACGUGUCCUGGCCACUGUUACUCCCCCAGCCUGUCACCUCUACAUCACCUUCCAAAGGCACGUCCACCUCUAGGAUCCACACCGAAGCUACAGGCCUCACUCCAUCAGGACGCUAAGAGAACCUCACCUGUAAUUCAUCUGGAGCAGCUCAUUAAUUUCUGUCAAUGACAGAUUUUUAAUUAUAGCCCCCUUUUUUUCUUAAAUGCUUGUACCCCGUAGCCGAUAUCUUUGAUCUGUCUUAGCCUCUGGAGUCGUGUGCAUAUUUUAAGCACAGAGCUGUGAAAAUAAACAGUUUCCUUAUCUCCACAACGGCUAUGGAAAACUUCACAGGCUGCGUGCCCCAAGAACGGCAGCUGCCGUGCAUCCUGGAGAGGGGGAUGGCGGUGCGUGUGAGGGUGCGAGUGGGCGUGCACGACCAGACGGUCAGCCGAAUAUCAAAGAGAAGUGAUGAACUCAGAAAACAGCUUCUCCACCGUAAUGGACAGAACAACAGGCCUCACGGAAGCAUGCUGGAGAUCAGAGGAUCUUUGACCCCUUUUCAAGAACAUCCAAAUGUACCAGCUAUGCUACACACUCACUGACAAUGCAAAGUACACAUGUCAUUGUGUGUUACAUAUAGAUUGUAUUGGUUAUAUUUUCUAUGAAUGUCCCGUCUAUAAGAAUCUAUGAAAAGAUGCAGCAGGGGGGCAGCGUGUGGCUUGUUGGGCUUUUUGCCUGUGACCUGGUGGUCGACAGUUCGAGCCCAGCCUUAGCCCAUCUGUGGGUCUCUGAGCAAGGCCCUUAAUCCCCAGCUCCCUGGCUGCUAAGGGUGGCUGCCCUUCACAGCCAGCU